UACAGAGGGUGCGAACGUUGUUCGGAAUUACUGAACGUAAAGGCGCGACGCAGGCGGCCCUUUAAGUCCGGUCGGUCAAAUGCCGGUAGCUCAACCCCGGAUUGCAUGCCGAGGAUGACUGGAGGGCUGGAGACACGUAGAGGCAAGCGGAAUUCCGGGUGGUAGCGGUGGAAUGCAUAGAGAUCCGGAAGAACGACCGGAGGCGAAGGCGGCUGCUGGGCUGUCGCUGGCGCGAGGCGCGAC
rnacentral:rRNA from 1 species